CAGCCGCCACGGUAAUACCAGCAGCCCAAGUGGUGGUCGCGAUUAUUGGGCCUAAAGCGCUCGUAGCCGGGCCGGUAAGUCCCUUGUGAAAUCGGACGGCCUAACCGUUCGGCGUGCAAGGGAUACUGUCGGUCUUGAGGCCGGGAGACGUCCGAGGUACUCCGGGGGUAGCGGUGAAAUGUUCUGAUCCUCGGGGGACCACCGGUGGCGAAGGCGUUCGACGAGAACGGGCCUGACGGUGAGGGGCGAAGGCUAGGGGAGCAAACGGGAUUUGAUACCCCAGUAGUCCCUGUCUCUUAUA
rnacentral:rRNA from 1 species